rnacentral:rRNA from 1 species
GAUGAACGCUGGCGGCGUGCCUAAUACAUGCAAGUCGAGCGAACAGACGAGGAGCUUGCUCCUCUGACGUUAGCGGCGGACGGGUGAGUAACACGUGGAUAACCUACCUAUAAGACUGGGAUAACUUCGGGAAACCGGAGCUAAUACCGGAUAACAUGUUGAACCGCAUGGUUCAACAGUGAAAGACGGUCUUGCUGUCACUUAUAGAUGGAUCCGCGCCGCAUUAGCUAGUUGGUAAGGUAACGGCUUACCAAGGCAACGAUGCGUAGCCGACCUGAUAGGGUGAUCGGCCACCCUGGAACUGAGACACGGUCCAGACUCCUACGGGAGGCAGCAGUAGGGAAUCUUCCGCAAAGGGCGAAAGCCUGACGGAGCAACGCCGCGUGAGUGAAGAAGGUCUUCGGAUCGUAAAACUCUGUUAUUAGGGAAGAACAAAUGUGUAAGUAACUAUGCACGUCUUGACGGUACCUAAUCAGAAAGCCACGGCUAACUACGUG